UUAAUUGAAGAGUUUGAUCAUGGCUCAGAUUGAACGCUGGCGGCAGGCCUAACACAUGCAAGUCGAGCGGUAACAGGAGAAAGCUUGCUUUCUUGCUGACGAGCGGCGGACGGGUGAGUAAUGUAUGGGGAUCUGCCCGAUAGAGGGGGAUAACUACUGGAAACGGUGGCUAAUACCGCAUAAUGUCUACGGACCAAAGCAGGGGCUCUUCGGACCUUGCACUAUCGGAUGAACCCAUAUGGGAUUAGCUAGUAGGUGGGGUAAAGGCUCACCUAGGCGACGAUCUCUAGCUGGUCUGAGAGGAUGAUCAGCCACACUGGGACUGAGACACGGCCCAGACUCCUACGGGAGGCAGCAGUGGGGAAUAUUGCACAAUGGGCGCAAGCCUGAUGCAGCCAUGCCGCGUGUAUGAAGAAGGCCUUAGGGUUGUAAAGUACUUUCAGCGGGGAGGAA
rnacentral:rRNA from 1 species